UACAGAGGGUGCAAGCGUUGUUCGGAAUUAUUGGGCGUAAAGCGCGUGUAGGCGGCUUUGCAAGUCGGGUGUGAAAGCCCUCAGCUCAACUGAGGAAGUGCGCCCGAAACUGCAGAGCUUGAGUACCGGAGAGGAUGGCGGAAUUCCCCAAGUAGAGGUGAAAUUCGUAGAUAUGGGGAGGAACACCGGUGGCGAAGGCGUCCAUCUGGACGGAUACUGACGCUGAGACGCGAAAGCGUGGGGAGCAAACAGG
rnacentral:rRNA from 1 species